GAUGAACGCUGGCGGCGUGCCUAAUACAUGCAAGUCGAGCGAACAGACGAGGAGCUUGCUCCUCUGACGUUAGCGGCGGACGGGUGAGUAACACGUGGAUAACCUACCUAUAAGACUGGGAUAACUUCGGGAAACCGGAGCUAAUACCGGAUAAUAUAUUGAACCGCAUGGUUCAAUAGUGAAAGACGGUUUUGCUGUCACUUAUAGAUGGAUCCGCGCCGCAUUAGCUAGUUGGUAAGGUAACGCCUUACCAAGGCAACGAUGCGUAGCCGACCUGAGAGGAUGAUCGGCCACACUGGAACUGAGACACGGUCCAGACUCCUACGGGAGGCAGCAGUGGGGAAUCUUCCGCAAUGGGCGAAAGCCUGACGGAGCAACGCCGCGUGAGUGAUGAAGGUCUUCGGAUCGUAAAGCUCUGUUGUUAGGGAAGAACAGAUGUAUAAGUAACUAUGCACGUCUUGACGGUACCUAAACAGAAAGCCACGGCUAACUACGUG
rnacentral:rRNA from 1 species